AGCGUUUUGUGUCUUUGGUCCUCAUCUCUCAGGGCGGUCGGAGCAGGCUCCCCCCGAGCCUUGUGCGCUCCCUCCCCACCCCGAGCUGUACGGAUCCCCUCGGGAGCCGCUGUGUCCCCGCUGCCCGUUUGCUGAGCGAGGAGCGGCACCGCACGGCGCUGGGCGGGACGGCGGGUGCUUUCCUGGCGGCGCGGGGUUCCCCACGCAGAACGUGCUUUCCCUGCGCGUCGGGCGGGGGUUUCCAGACCGUGCCCCCGGGCUGUGCCGGCCUGCGGGGCGCUCUGCACGCGGAGCUCUCCUCAGGGGGCUGCCGGUGCCUUUCCUCCUUCGUGUUUGAACUUUUUUACCUUUUCUUCGCGACGUUGGCUCAUGCAGGCUGCUAUGGGAGGGGGGUGCGUGGUGACCGCCUGCGCUUCGGUCACUGAAAGGCAAAGGGGAACAACGAGAGGAAGGCAAAACCGAGUGCAAAUUUCCACCGGCGUGUGUCAGCGCGUACAGAAAGCUGAAAAACUUCCGCAGCGGUGCUGCCGGAUCGCGGUAUGACAUUUCCUCUGGAGAAACAGCAAGCAGAAGAUGAGAAAGCCCCGCUUUGUGCGUGUGGUGACAGAAUGAUGGCGGGGUGUUCGCAUCGCUGAGCUGCGGCACAGAAACGCGGCAGGCAUUGCUGGAGGGCUCGUUAUGACACUGCCGGAUCUCCGAGGUGACACCUUAAGGAAGCUUCUGACAUUCAGAAGACAACACUGUUGGUGGAAAAAUGGAGCUAGAUCCAGAAGUGCCAUAUCUGAAGGAGGAUCGGGUGUGGGAUUUCACAUCAGUUGGACACAGGGAGUUCAGUAUCACAGAAGGACCUGAGCUCUGUAUGUGUGUGUAUGGCUUAAAUUCUGCUUUCAUGGAGCAAGAUGUAAUGCUCCCGGUUUCUGUACUUCAAGCAGACUAAAUGAAGUUAUACUGAAUCCAUUUCUAUCCAUUCCAGGAGGCUUCUUAACUUUUAACCAAAUGUUCUUCCAAAGAGAAAUAAUUCAGUGUUCCUCCUUAACUCCGUCCUGCAGCUUCCUGCCUGUGCUACUCCAGCCACAUCCCUGCCCUUUGCUCCUCCAUACCCUUUGGCCUCCUCCGGAUCCUGCAAUAGAAACUGCCCUUUCCUCCCCUCCCAGGCCUCCAGGCAAGCUGUUUCAGGCUCUGCCUUUCUACUAGGCAAGCAUCAUGUUGCAAUAAGGAAGAAGGGAGGGGGAGGAAUGAAAAAGCAGGCUAAAAUGCAUAUAAUAGCAGAAAUAGUGCAGCUGUCCUGAGCUGCCAGCCUUCUUUUUCUUGCUCUGACUCUUGAGGAUAGUAGCAGCUCCCC
ensembl:lncRNA